ACACCUCACAUACUUCACACACACUUCACACAAACACACUUCACACACACCUCACACCCUCUCACACACACCUCACACACACACACACCUCACAUACUUCACACACACUUCACACAAACACACCUCACACCCUCUCACACAUAUCUCACACACACACCUCAGGUACUGAUUCAGAAUCGACAAUAAAAGUGAAAGAGAUUAAAACACGUGUUUACAUAAAUGUUUACUUUUCACUUGAGUCUGUUCUACACUGUCAGUAUCUUGAUUUCUAAACUCCAAUAAACCAUAAAUCUUGUAGCUGAUGGCUGUAGACUGCAGUGUUCUGUACAAACUGUGUAAAUAAAGCAGUUUAUAGUAAUCUUUAAUGUGCUGUGUUUACAGGAUGAUCUGUUCUGUACUGUGAAACAUCAUCAUGAGCAUCAUCUGAGACACCAGAGCUUGUAGUUCUACCAUCACACACACACACACACACACACACACCAGGGGUUGUCCUAAUCUCUCCAGAGGAAACUGUGUUCUAAAUUUUAAAUGGUCUGCCUCGUAAAAAAGCUCAAGUCUCUGUUUGUCCACCUGGUGGCGCUACAGAGCAGUAAAAUUAGAGCCACGAACUGAGCCACAAACAGCGUUGAGUAAUUCAUCAUUAGCAAGAUAAAAAUCUGAUGCUGUAAUUAAAAGAAUUAAUUCAGUGCUUUCACUGGGAAUGAGGAUGAACACGUAUACACACUUAUACACGUGUAUACACUACUUAAAACACUUAUACAUACUUGUACACACUUAUACAGCAUAUAAGUCUGUGUGAGCUUCAGUGGUCCAGUGGUAAAGUCAUUACCUCUCUGUGUAGAGGUUGCUGGUUCAAAUCCAGCUCAUCACCACAUGCUGUAUGUCCACUGAUGAUGGAGGUAAGUGGGUGGAGCAGGUAAAUAAGGUGUGGAGUCUGGUGUUAAUGGAGGACAGAUAAAAAAGAGGUGAUAGGUUUUAUAGCAGAUCCUUUAUCCUUUAAUGCAAAACUAAGUCGAACCUCUCGCUUCAGGCUUCAUAACCACUUUCUUUUCCUGCUCUGGUUGAUGGUGUCUCUGAUGGAGCAUUUGGAGCAGAUGUCCUCUGAUUUCACAUCUAAAGGAUCCAAUUCUAUAUUCAGAUUUCUGUAAAUUAAAGUGUGAGGUCACUCGUUUCAGGGUCAGAAAAAACCUGAGGUUAUGAAUGUACAGUGUUCAUGAAUGUGUUGUGUAUCUGGUGUACUGCGUGUGUUCAGACUGAACAUUUCCUAUAGUGUUGUUGGUCACUAAACUGAAUGAAUGAGUGUCAUGUGUCUUAAGUCGUCAUUACACCAUGCAUAUUUAAUGACUGUGUGGGGAAGAGGGGGUGGGGUCAAUGUUUGGCAGAUACUUAUGUGUCCUGUGUCACACUCAGACCAAUGAAGAGCUCCUGAAGACCAUAACAGAACAGAGCAUCAGCAUUCUCAGGGCCUCCAAGCAGUCAGUGAAGUCUUCAGGGAUUAAAACCUUUUAAGCAUUGUGUCACCGGAGGUGUCCCAGGCGUCUCAGGUCCAGGUCUUCUUGUAUUCUGGAGCAUCAGUUUGAUGCAGGCAGCAAGAUUUAAAGGAGAAAAGCUGAGGUGUAGAAUUGAGCUCAGGUUGGUGAAAGCUCAGAGAUGUUGAAGUAAAUGUUGACGGCUUCCCGAGUUCUGCUAUGUACAAGGAUCAAGCUGCCCAAAGCCCCUGUGCCUCUGAUGUUCUGUUAAGUGUUAGAAGGUUUUUCUGUUCAAGGCUCUUCCCCAAACACAUUAAAACAUUGACUAAGAAA